CACAAUUUUUAGGAAUGUCGGGAUGCAUUCACGAUUAUUAUGGUCGAUAGAAAAUGGACGUUACAGACAAUAUACAACGACGACCCAUGUCGACUGUUCUACUAAAAAUGUAUCCUUAAGUCUUAUAAAAGUACUAAAUACUCAAUAAAUGUAGUGAGAGAACAAUAUUAUUAAUGAAUCCACGUUAUAGGUCACAUAACCCCAAACCGGAACUCCUGUUUUUAGGGUUACAUGUCAGUUUGAUACUUAGCACACAUUGUUGAGUGCAUGCUGCCUAGGAUUUGUAAAAUACAUUGCAAAUGGCUAGUUUUGGUAUCAACUUGAAGGUAUAUUUGUAAGCAAUAAGAAAAUAAGCCAUUUUUGUGCUCUACAUUUUGUGUUGAUGGUUCCCGGCUUUGAAAGUAGGUCAUACUAUUUGAGCCCAAAAUGGUUGUCUGCACAGCUGUCAAAACCGGUUUGCCUAUUCUAAGGUAAAUAUUUUGAGUUAGCACAGAUAUAAUUUAAUGACAUGCAUUUUUUCAAAAGAUUAUGCAUUUAUCUUUCCAAUGAUGUAUGAUGAUAUAGUGGGUAUGCGCUUGAUCAUGGUAAAAAUUGAUAUCGAACUUCAACCACUUUAUAUGUAAUAUAGAAGGAAAUUAAUUGCGCAUGCGUUACCUUUAAGCACAUCCGACCAAGUUAGUCGUCUGCCAGAAUGUUGACAAUUGACCAUCAAAAACUCUCUGUAUUGCAAAACAUAACUGCCAGAUGUAAUUUGACCCAAAUUAGGGCUGUUUGCAAUUGGGCUGUUGCACUUGGGGUCAUAAGGGGGGUAAAUGCUGGAAAAUCACACCGAAACCUGUUCCGGAGAAAUAUUCUAAAUCUGCUUAAACACUCUGUAUUGUUUUUCAGUGACAUUUUGACAUUAAUUUGCAUCAAUCUCAAUAAUGAACUUAAUGCAUGUCUCUACUUCAUCUGUAUUUAUUAUUAUUGUUUACUUUUUGAGCCUUUUACUGUUAAAAAUGCCUGCCAAGUUUGGACCGACACUGCUAUCUGCCUUCGCCUUCAACCCCGUCAGGCAGAUUCUACUCAGAAUAACACUACUUUGCCUUAUUUUUCCUGUUUGGAUAUCUUGCAGAGUUUAAGUAAAAUCAAGUAUUCAUCUGAAAACACAAAAAUGAUAAUAAUAUUAUGCUUUCUUUCCUGGAAGAAUGUUGUUGUGAUAGACCCUGUGUGAAAAACACCAGGGAAUCUGUAUUUUAGUGACCUCAAUAUUAUGCGUAAACCUAAGUGUGCAUUUGUAGGCGGUGUCGAAAUGGGUCUUUAGCUCUGCCUGAACUGUCGUCAAAUUGGUUUACAAGUCCGGCUGAAGUGACAGGCCAUCAUAAACUGUACAGCAUGACUGAUUCGGAGACGGCCCUCAACACUCGCCCAGUCGUGUCGAGAGGAUCGGUGUCUUUGCAGAUUACACGGAAUCGAGCACCCGGGCCAGACUGACACUUCCGGAGCCUGUCCGAGACGGAACUCGAGCCAAGGAAUCAUAGGUCCAGGCGGUGUCGAAAUGGGUCUUUAGCUCUGCCUGAACUGUCGUCAAAUUGGUUUACAAGUCCGGCUGAAGUGACAGGCCAUCAUAAACUGUACAGCAUGACUGAUUCGGAGACGGCCCUCAACACUCGCCCAGUCGUGUCGAGAGGAUCGGUGUCUUUGCAGAUUACACGGAAUCGAGCACCCGGGCCAGACUGACACUUCCGGAGCCUGUCCGAGACGGAACUCGAGCCAAGGAAUCAUAGGUCCAGGCGGUGUCGAAAUGGGUCUUUAGCUCUGCCUGAACUGUCGUCAAAUUGGUUUACAAGUCCGGCUGAAGUGACAGGCCAUCAUAAACUGUACAGCAUGACUGAUUCGGAGACGGCCCUCAACACUCGCCCAGUCGUGUCGAGAGGAUCGGUGUCUUUGCAGAUUACACGGAAUUGAGCACCCGGGCCAGACUGACACUUCCGGAGCCUGUCCGAGACGGAACUCGAGCCGAGGAAUCAUAGGUCCAGGUGUGACAAAAGACUUAAAGCGCAUGUCUGACGAUGAUUUUUUUUAGUCAGGAAGUCAAGAUGUUGUUUUUUCAUGCAAGCAAGCCCUUUUGUUGGGUCAAAUGACAUUGGAAAUGCUGCUUCUACAUGGAUUUAACCUAAAAUGUGCCAAUUUAAAAAAAAAGUUUGUUCGAAUCCGGUUCAAAACCUGCUUUGAUGCACACAUAUUGCCAUUGAUGAUUUUUUCACUUAUUAAGUCAUAUGUUACAUCAGCUUUGCCUUUUAGAAUCGAAAGUGAUGCCUUGUAUGGAGUCUAAGUGCUGCAUGUAUGAUAUAACCAAGUUUGGCUUUUCUACCUUAAUUCUUGACGCGAAACGCUGUUACGCAUGGCGCUUUCAACGGCAACUUUUAUGAAUAAAUCUGUGUGUCAUUGUA